rnacentral:misc_RNA from 1 species
GAGCUCUCUCCCUCCAUUUUUGUUUUCCCUAAAGCUUGAUUUUCUAAGCUUUCUCCUCAUCAAAACCCAUAGACCCCUUCAUUAAAAAGUUAGCCCACUCCAUAAGGAAGCCAUUGAUAGUGAAAAGAAGAAGAAAAGUUGAAGUUUAACAAGUUACCCAAGAGGUUAGUGCCUAAUCUUCCUUUCUUCCUUUAUUAAUCCUUGAGUUAAGGUUAAAAUGAAGUGAAAUUUGUAAGAAACUAAAAGAAAUAGGUGAGUUAUGAGGGGAGUGAAUUUUUGAUACCCAUGGUGAGUGAUGGUUUUUGAUGACUAUGAUGUAUAUAAAGUGAUUUAAUGAUGUUGGUUGAUGCAUUUAUAAGUAUUAGAAGUUAAUUUACAUUGAGAUUUUAUGAGGUUGAAAUUGUGAGUUAGGGUUUGGCCUAACUUUGGUAUUUUUGUAUUAUACCAUGCAAUUGGGAUUGUUGAGAUGUGUUGAUGAUAUUUAGAAGUGCCUUGAAUGUCAAAUUGAAGCAAGGAAGUUGGAGGAGAAAUGAAUUAUUGGAAGUGCUAUUUUCUGCAGGUUGUGUUUGUUG